UACGGAGGGUGCGAGCGUUAAUCGGAAUAACUGGGCGUAAAGGGCACGCAGGCGGUUAAUUAAGUCAGAUGUGAAAGCCCCGGGCUUAACUUGGGAAUUGCAUCUGAAACUGGUUAGCUAGAGUCUUGUAGAGGGGGGUAGAAUUCCAGGUGUAGCGGUGAAAUGCGUAGAGAUGUGGAGGAAUACCGGUGGCGAAGGCGGCCCCCUGGACGAAGACUGACGCUCAGGUGCGAAAGCGUGGGGAGCAAACAGG
rnacentral:rRNA from 1 species